CAUAGACAGUUUCCUCAACAUAGGCCCUGAGGUAAGAUCUAGACAGCUACCUCAACAUAGGCCCUGAGGUAAGUUCCAUAGACAGUUUCCUCAACAUAGGCCCUGAGGUAAGAUCUAGACAGCUACCUCAACAUAGGCCCUGAGGUAAGUUACAUAGACAGUUUCCUCAACAUAGGCCCUGAGGUAAGAUCUAGACAGCUACCUCAACAUAGGCCCUGAGGUAAGUUCCAUAGACAGUUUCCUCAACAUAGGCCCUGAGGUAAG